CCUGCCCUGAGAGUGGGAUAACAAGGUCGAAAGGCCUGCUAAUACCGCAUAACGCUAUGAAGCUGCAUGGCGUCUUAGCCCAAAGGUUAAUUCCGCUCAAGGAUGGGCCCCGCGGCCCCAUUAGUUAGUUGGUGAGGUAAUGGCUCACCAAGACGACGAUGGGUAGCCGGCCUGAGAGGGUGGUCGGCCACACUGGGACUGAGACACAGCCCAGACUCCUACGGGAGGCAGCAGUGGGGAAUAUUGCGCAAUGGGGGAAACCCUGACGCUGCGACGCCGCGUGAGCGAUGAAGGCCUUCGGGUUGUAAAGCUCUGUCUUCCCUGACGAUCAUGACGGUACGGGAGGAGGUAGCCCACGGCUAACUACGUGCCAGCAGCCGCGGUAAUACGUAGGUGGCGAGCGUUGUCCGGAAUUACUGGGCGUAAAAGGGUGCGUAGGCGGCUCUUUAAGUGGGAUGUGAAAUCCCUGGGCUCAACCCAGGAACUGCAUUCCAAACUGGAGAGCUAGAGUGCAGGAGAGGAAAAGCGGAAUUCCCAGUGUAGCGGUGAAAUGCGUAGAGAUUGGGAGGAACACCAGUGGCGAAGGCGGCUUCUGGACUGUAACUGACGCUGAGGCACGAAAGCGUGGGGAGCAAACAGGAUUAGAUACCCUGGUAGUCCACGCUGUAAACGAUGGGUACUAGGUGUAGGGGGCGAAGCCCUCUGUGCCGCAGCUAACGCAUUAAGUACCCCGCCUGGGGAGUACGGUCGCAAGAUU
rnacentral:rRNA from 1 species